CUGCUGCGUGUUUCUACCACCCACCAACUCACCUGACUGCUGAUGCUGAACAACCCCGCUCCUCCAGGACCUCCGAACAGACGGCUUUAAUCAUGUGUCUGACAAACAACUCUGACUUGCCAUGCAGAUGAGCCUGGCCUAGCCUGGCUAGAUGAUGAAGGACCUGUGGCUCCAACAUCGCUGCUGCCCACCCUCCAACAGCCAGCCAACCCCAGAAACAAAAGAGCAUACCUGACGGCAGCUGAUCACGUAAAUGAUUUGAAAUAUACCCAUGAACAUGCCAAGCCAUCAUUUCAGGUGAACAGGAAAUUCUGACUUUAAAAAGAAAUGAUCAGUGUACCCGGGCAAAGACCCAGUGCAUCUCACCUUUUCCAGCUUUCCGUAAAGAACUCCGUUCUGAACUGUAGAUCCUGAAA